rnacentral:rRNA from 1 species
CCUACGAGGGGCUGCAGUGAGGAAUAUUGGUCAAUGGUCGGGAGACUGAACCAGCCAAGCCGCGUGAGGGAUGAAGGUACAGAGUAUCGUAAACCUCUUUUGUCAGGGAACAAAGGCGGGGACGUGUCCCCGGCUGAGUGUACCUGAAGAAAAAGCAUCGGCUAACUCCGUGCCAGCAGCCGCGGUAAUACGGAGGAUGCGAGCGUUAUCCGGAUUUAUGGGGUUAAAGGGGUGGGCAGGCGGUCGGUUAAGUCGGCGUACAAAGCCCGGGGCUCAACCCCGGCCCGCCGUUGAGACUGGCAGUCUCGAGUUGGAGAGAAGUAUGCGGAAUGCGCGGUGUAGCGGUGAAAUGCAUAGAUAUCGCGCAGAACUCCGAUUGCGAAGGCAGCAUGCCGGCUCCACACUGACGCUGAGGCACGAAAGCGUGGGUAUCGAACAGGAUUAGAUACCCGGGUAGUC